GACGAACGCUGGCGGCGUGCUUAACACAUGCAAGUCGAACGGAAAGGCCCUGCUUUUGUGGUUUGCUCGAGUGGCGCACGGGGGAGUAACACGUGUGUAACCUCCCCUUGUCUUUGGGAUAACUUCAGGAAACUGGGGCUCAUACCGGGUAGGAGCUCCUGCUGCGUGGUGGGGGUUGGUAAGUUUCGGCGGUUGGGGAUGGACUCGCGGCUUAUCAGCUUCUUGGUGUGGUAGUGGCUUACCAAGGCUUUGACGGGUAGCCGGCCUGAGAGGGUGACCGGCCACAUUGGGACUGAGAUACGGCCCAGACUCCUACGGGAGGCAGCAGUGGGGAAUAUUGCACAAUGGGCGGAAGCCUGAUGCAGCAACGCCGCGUGCGGGAUAACGGCCUUCGGGUUGUAAACCGCUUUCGCCUGUGACGAAGCGUGAGUGACGGUAAUGGGUAAAGAAGCACCGGCUAACUACGUG
rnacentral:rRNA from 1 species